CUUCUUCCCCCUGUAUUCCCUCCUUGCAGGUUUUUUGGGUCCUACAUUAUACAUUUACUCAGUUUUCUCCAAACAGACAAAAUGGUUAUGACUUUUCUACUGUGACCUGAAAUUUACAGUCAUUAUAUGUGGAGUAAUCAGGUAUGGAUUCAGCUUUUGGACACACAGUGGAGGGUUCUAGAACAAGGGAACAAAAGGAUUUGGCUUCAAGAGGAAUCAGAUCAUAACCGCAUUUCAUUGACAUGAAAAAACGAAUAAAAAGACAGAAGUGACACCCAGCAAUCAGGAGGGAAGUCUUGCAGGAGAGGCACCAGAAACUGCAGGCAUCCGUCCCAGUGACACAGCAACAACAUCAUGCCAAUCAGGUUAAAGAUUCUUACCACUGCACUCGCCAGGUCAUAUGUCAUAUGAAAAAUCUGAAGGAGGAAGACAAGGAGAAAAAGAUAAUAAUGCAUUGAGAAUAAAGCUAACAUCAGGGGAGCUCUGCAUUUCACAGAAUGAUGAGCCACUGCCCCGGAGGAUUCAAAACAAUUACGCUCGAUCCCAAAGACAACAGUCAACAUGAGAAGAGAAGGUCUUUUGAAAUUUAAACAGUGAAGUGAAGCACUACGGGAAUGCUAACCAACAACACUCAGUUGAUGCUGAAGGUCACUGGUGGAAGGGCACACAGCACUUAAAAGAUCAGACCACCAGCGUCAGAUAACCCCUACCAGGCACAGCACAAGACAGUCUGCAUCACUGUCCACCGGGGAAAAUCAUACGUCUGAUCACUUAUAAAGGAGCAGUUUGACUGAGAUACAUAAACCCUGUCUAUGAGGCUGCAUUCCCAGAAUGCAUUGAGACAAGGUUAUCAAGGAUUAGCAUGGACUAAUUUGCUGGGAUUAAAAUCCACAAUUGAACUCAAUACAAUGACAAAGAAAGAGAAUAGUGCCAGGCUAAGAUGCAUCUUGUUUAAGAAUCUUCACACACCCUAACAAGCUAAAUGAAGUGGAAGGGCUUUGCACAGAAGAGGAAAUGUGACUCACUGCAUUUGCUUUGAGGGGUUUUCACUGUUCCAGAGGAAGAGGGCAUUUUACAGUGUGCCUGGCAAACAGCCACAUGGAAAUGACAUCAGCUUCUCUGCACUCAGUGAGGGCCUGUAAACCGGACCCCCAUGGGGUGACAGAGAAUGGGCCAGAACUUUGAGCACAGCCUCACCGGCUGUCAUUAAACCUUCUGAUUCAGCCCAUUACAGAUCCAUUUCGCACUUUCACAUCCUACCCACACUGACCUGACAGUCUAAAAGAGACGAGGGCCGAUGGGUGGCCUGCUGUUAGAGAAAUAUAUGUGAAAAAAAAGAUGAGGGAUUUAUUGGAGGGAGGGAGAAUAGUGAUAAAAGUCUAAAUUCAAAUUAGGUGAGAUGAACAGAAUAAAAGAACAGUAAGACAGCACAAAAUGUUAAGCAUGAAUACAAUGAAACUGUAGGGAUGGACAAUAUUUUGCUACCAUGUAAUGUAUCAGCUGAUUUUGUAUAUAUACAUUGUUA